rnacentral:rRNA from 1 species
AAACCAGCACCUCAAGUGGUCAGGAUGAUUAUUGGGCCUAAAGCAUCCGUAGCCGGCUCUGUAAGUUUUCGGUUAAAUCUGUACGCUUAACGUACAGGCUGCCGGGAAUACUGCAGAGCUAGGGAGUGGGAGAGGUAGACGGUACUCGGGAGGAAGUGGUAAAAUGCUUUGAUCUCUCGAUGACCACCUGUGGCGAAGACGGUCUACCAGAACACGUCCGACGGUGAGGGAUGAAAGCUGGGGGAGCAAACCGGAUUAGAAACCCGGGUAGUCC